CAAAUCCUGUAUUCCAUUCUCGAAGCCCACCAAAUCUGUCCUGAAUUCUUCCUUUGAUUCACUUCAGAAUCCAGUAUUUCCCAACUGAACCACCCAGGGGUAUAAUAUACAGG
rnacentral:lncRNA from 1 species